rnacentral:lncRNA from 1 species
AGUUGGGAAAUGGAGGCUUGUGUGGUGGUUUUUGCGGUGGCUUGACAGGGCGAGUUGGGGGCUUCUUCCCAGUACCAGUUGGGGGUUUUAGUUUCCGAGGUGGCUUGUGAUCUGAGUCUCUUCCCCCCUCCACCACAUUCUCUUCAAGAUGACGAUCAUGAUGAGGUGGCUCAUCUCCCUUACCCUUCGGUGGCUUAUCUCCCUUACCCUUUGGAGGCUGCUCAACUGGCUUUGGUUUUGGGUCGUGUUCAGGGAAUGGCUUGUGAUCUCCAUCGUCAUUACGUUCAAGUGGGGUUGGUGGCUUCCCUUUUGGAGGUGGCUUUGGCUUCUUUCCCUUAGGAGGCAAUUUCCCAUCCAAUGACUCUGCCUCUAAUAAACGACGUCCGGUGUUUUGUUCAUUGUGAGGUGGCUUGUGCUCCGGUGGUGGCUUCUUACCCUUGGGAGGUUCAUCAUGACCUGGGGUUCCCUUGUUCUUCGGUGGUGGCUUUUCUCCUUUUUGGGAUUCCUGUUCACCUGGGUGUCCUGGUUUGUGCUCGGGUGGUGGCUUCUCUCCUUUCUUCGGUGGCUCGUCACCCGGGUGUCCGAUACCUGGGGUAUGUCCUGGUGGUCCUCUCUUCGGUGGCUCAUCACCUGGCUGUCCUGGUUUGUGCUCUGGUGGCGGCUUCUCAAACCCUGGAUCCUCAGUGUGCUCUUGGGGUGGCUUUUGUCCCUUCGGGGGCUCAUUGUGCCCUUGUGGUGGCUUUUGUCCCUUUGGAGGCUGAUUGUGCUCUUGAGGUGGCUUUUGUCCCUCGGGAAUUUUGCCUUCCACCUCUAGCAAGUGGUGUUCAUUGUGCGGUGGCUUGUGCUUGGGUGGAGGCCUCUCUCCUUUGCCCUUGAGGGGCUCGUUAUGUUGGGUUGGGGGCUUCUUCUCUGGGAAUGGGAAAGGCUCUUCCUUGUUAAGUGGGGUUGGAGUCUUGUGAUUUGGUGGGUUGUGGGAAGGAGGCUUUUGAAUUGGGGGUUUCAGGGCAAGAGAAGGAGUUGAAGUGGUGAAAACCACCACUCCGACAAGAAAAACUAGCAAGUAAUUGGGAGACAUCUUUAGACUCUUAUGUUCUAGGAUGGUUGGAAACUAGUAGAAGUGAGUGGCUUUUUAUAGUGAUGGGGCAGCACUGUGGUCAUGGCACAUGUCACCAUGCACUUGGAUUUUUUUUUAAUGAAAUGUGUGGACUCG